UCGGACGGAGGAGGCCGCGCGCUCUUACGUUCCGAAACACGCGAUCGUAGUUUAACUUUUCGUAGUGCAACGCUGUUUGGCUGAAUGUGUUGAUUUCAGUGCUAUAGUUUGACUGUGUGAAAAAUGUAGUGCAGAUUCUUUUUGGUAUCACCUACAAUGAGAGAGCCAAUCGGAUGAGGCGUGUUGACAGCAUGGCGGCGCUGUGAUCCAAGAUGGCUGCCGGGACAGCCGCGUGGGCCACGCUGCUUGUGUUCGUGGGGGCCAUUUGCAGGGGGCUGUCGGAGGACAACAACCAUGAGGACUUGGGUAAACAUGCCCACGGUUCACCAGACG